CUCUCUUGCAGGCCUUGAGGAAGCAGUAACCUUGUGACUUGCCUAUGGAGAGGGCCAGGGGACAUGGAACUGUGGGAGGCCUUUAGGAACUGAAGCCAGUCUCCAGCUGCUAGUAAGAAGCUGAGCGUCUCAGUCCUACCACCACAAGGAUCUGAAUUCUGCCAACAAUACAAGAGCUUGGAAUAGGACCGCAAACUCCAGGUGUUUCUCUUCCCAAGGAGUUCUGCACCAACUGACACCUUGAUGGCAGCCCAGUGAGACGCUGAGCAGAGAAACUAGGAGAGGAAGCUUGGGUCUGGGGAUUUCUGUGUCAGGACAACUCCCAAGGCUUGCAAGGAAAAAGGCCAAGAUCUGUCAUCCAUGGACCACAUAGAUCU
rnacentral:lncRNA from 1 species